GCCAGGUGUGGUGGCGGGCACCUGUAAUCCCAGCUACUCAGGAGGCUGAGGCAGGAGAAUCGCUUGAACCCAGGAGGCGGAGGUUGUGGUGAGCCAAUAUUGUGCCACUGCACUCCAGCCUGGGUGACAGAGUGAGACUCUGUUUCAC
rnacentral:SRP_RNA from 1 species